ACUUAAAUAAUUUAAUAAAAAUAUUGAUUUGUGGGAUCAAAAAUAUGAAAAUUUAUUUCAUUUUAGGUU
rnacentral:tRNA from 1 species